GAUGAACGCUGGCGGCGUGCCUAAUACAUGCAAGUCGAGCGAACGGACGAGAAGCUUGCUUCUCUGAUGUUAGCGGCGGACGGAUGAGUAACACGUGGAUAACCUACCUAUAAGACUGGGAUAACUUCGGGAAACCGGAGCUAAUACCGGAUGAUAUUUUGAACCGCAUGGUUCAAAAGUGAAAGACGGUCUUGCUGUCACUUAUAGAUGGAUCCGCGCUGCAUUAGCUAGUUGGUAAGGUAACGGCUUACCAAGGCAACGAUGCAUAGCCGACCUGAGAGGGUGAUCGGCCACACUGGAACUGAGACACGGUCCAGACUCCUACGGGAGGCAGCAGUAGGGAAUCUUCCGCAAUGGGCGAAAGCCUGACGGAGCAACGCCGCGUGAGUGAUGAAGGUCUUCGGAUCGUAAAACUCUGUUAUUAGGGAAGAACAUAUGUGUAAGUAACUGUGCACAUCUUGACGGUACCUAAUCAGAAAGCCACGGCUAACUACGUG
rnacentral:rRNA from 1 species